UACGAAGGGGGGCUAGCGUUGUUCGGAUUUACUGGGCGUAAAGCGCACAUAGGCGGAUCGUUAAGUCGGGGGGUGAAAUCCUGGAGCUCAACUCCAGAACUGCCUUCGAUACUGGCGAUCUCGAGUCCGGAAGAGGUGAGUGGAACUCCUAGUGUAGAGGUGGAAUUCGUAGAUAUUAGGAAGAACACCAGUGGCGAAGGCGGCUCACUGGUCCGGUACUGACGCUCAGGCGCGAUAGCGUGGGGGAUCAAAACAGG
rnacentral:rRNA from 1 species